rnacentral:rRNA from 1 species
AUUGAACGCUGGCGUCAGGCCUAACACAUGCAAGUCGAGCGGAUGAUGGGAGCUUGCUCCUUGAUUCAGCGGCGGCCGGGCGCGUAAUGCCUAGGAAUCUGCCUGGUAGUGGGGGACACCGUUUCGAAAGGAACGCUAAUACCGCAUACGUCCUACGGGAGAAAGCAGGGGCCCUUCGGGCCUUGCGCUAUCAGAUGAGCCUCGGCCGGAUUAGCUUGGUGGUGAGGAAAUGGCUCACCAAGGCGACGAUCCGUAACUGGUCUGAGAGGAUGAUCAGUCACACUGGAACUGAGACACGGUCCAGACUCCUACGGGAGGCAGCAGUGGGGAAUAUUGGACAAUGGGCGAAAGCCUGAUCCCGCCAUGCCGCGUGUGUGAAGAAGGUCUUCGGAUUGUAAAGCACUUUAAGUUGGGAGGAAGGGUUGUAGAUUAAUACUCUGCAAUUUUGACGUUACCGACAGAAUAAGCACCGGCUAACUCUGUGCCAGCCGCCGCAGUAACAC